rnacentral:rRNA from 1 species
AUUGAACGCUGGCGGCAUGCCUUACACAUGCAAGUCGAACGGCAGCACGGGAGCAAUCCUGGUGGCGAGUGGCGAACGGGUGAGUAAUGUAUCGGAACGUACCUUUCAGUGGGGGAUAGCGUAGCGAAAGUUACGCUAAUACCGCAUAUUCUGUGAGCAGGAAAGCAGGGGAUCGCAAGACCUUGCGCUGAUUGAGCGGCCGAUAUCAGAUUAGCUAGUUGGUGAGGUAAAGGCUCACCAAGGCGACGAUCUGUAGCGGGUCUGAGAGGAUGAUCCGCCACACUGGAACUGAGACACGGUCCAGACUCCUACGGGAGGCAGCAGUGGGGAAUUUUGGACAAUGGGCGCAAGCCUGAUCCAGCCAUGCCGCGUGAGUGAAGAAGGCC